UCAGACGAUGCGUCAUGCAUAUCAAUAAGCGGAGGAAAAGAAACUAACAAGGAUUCCCUUAGUAACGGCGAGUGAAGCGGGAAGAGCUCAAAUUUGAAAUCUUCAAGGUUUUACCUUGACGAAUUGUAGUUUAAAGAAGUGUUUUCUGUUGAAGUUUUGGUAAGAGUUCUUUGGAAUAGGACAUCAUAGAGGGUGAGAAUCCCGUAUUUGACCAUUAUUUUCAGCUGUGUGAUACACUUUCAAAGAGUCGGAUUGUUUGGGAAUGCAGUCCAAAAUGGGUGGUAAAUUUCAUCUAAAGCUAAAUAUUGGCGAGAGACCGAUAGCGAACAAGUACCGUGAGGGAAAGAUGAAAAGAACUUUGAAAAGAGAGUUAAACAGUACGUGAAAUUGUCAAAAGGGAAGCGUUUGACACCAGUGUUGUUUUCUCGAAAAUCAAUUAAAAAGAGUUGGGUUUUGUGUUGUAUUGACCUUAACAGCUUGCUUCACUCUUUUCCUGCUUUUUUUAAUGCACUUUUCGUUUAACAAGUCAACAUCAGUUUCUUUUGUUGUAAAAGGGUCAUUGGAAGGUGGCUUUCUCUUCGGAGAAAGUGUUUAUAGCCUUUGAUCUCUGCAAUCGGAGAGACUGAGGUCUGCAGCGUAGAUCCUUCGGGGUUAGAUACAUUUGUGCUAAGCUACAGCUUUUCAUAGACAACUUGUUGACUAUGUUUAGUCUUGUAACUUACCCGCUUAUGCUAUUUUACCUACGCUUAGGAUGUUGAUAUGCAUGACUGAUAU
rnacentral:rRNA from 1 species